rnacentral:rRNA from 1 species
GUGGGGAAUCUUGCGCAAUGGGCGAAAGCCUGACGCAGCCAUGCCGCGUGAAUGAUGAAGGUCUUAGGAUUGUAAAAUUCUUUCACCGGGGACGAUAAUGACGGUACCCGGAGAAGAAGCUCCGGCUAACUUCGUGCCAGCAGCCGCGGUAAUACGAAGGGGGCUAGCGUUGCUCGGAAUUACUGGGCGUAAAGGGCGCGUAGGCGGACAGCUUAGUCAGAGGUGAAAGCCCAGGGCUCAACCUUGGAAUUGCCUUUGAUACUGGCUGUCUUGAGUUUGGGAGGGGUGAGUGGAACUCCGAGUGUAGAGGUGAAAUUCGUAGAUAUUCGGAAGAACACCAGUGGCGAAGGCGACUCACUGGCCCAAUACUGACGCUGAGGCGCGAAAGCGUGGGGAGCAAACAGGAUUAGAAACCCCUGUAGUCC